rnacentral:lncRNA from 1 species
AAGCUUUGAAUGACUAUUCCGACCUUCGCCGAAUAGAAAUGAAGAAAAUUCUUCCCAAAAUCUCCUUCACACUUUCUCUGCAAAUGCAUUCAAAGUUGUUUCUUUUAUCACAACAAUACACUUUCAGGUUAAACAGAUUUUUCUUUUCAAGUUUAAUUUCAUUUGGUUUCUGUUCUUGUAAUAAUCAAAUUUUGUUUUAGAAGGGUUUUUGGUGAUGGGUUUUCUUUAAAUUUUCUAAAAAAUAAGCUACAACUCAACUCCCAAAUCUUUGUCUUUUGGGGGAGAUGAUGUUUAGUUUUCUCUUAUGGGAAACCUACGGACUAGAAUUGAAUUAUAGGGAGUCAAUCGUAAUCACCAUAUGGAUCUCUCUCUUAAUCCUUGUUUUAUUAUUUCGAUUUUGCUGCU